GAUGAACGCUGGCGGCGUGCCUAAUACAUGCAAGUCGAGCGAACGGACGAGAAGCUUGCUUCUCUGAUGCUAGCGGCGGACGGGUGAGUAACACGUGGAUAACCUACCUAUAAGACUGGGAUAACUUCGGGAAACCGUAGCUAAUACCGGAUAAUAUUUUGAACCGCAUGGUUCAAAAGUGAAAGACGGUCUUGCUGUCACUUAUAGAUGGAUCCGCGCUGCAUUAGCUAGUUGGUAAGGUAACGGCUUACCAAGGCAACGAUGCAUAGCCGACCUGAGAGGGUGAUCGGCCACACUGGAACUGAGACACGGUCCAGACUCCUACGGGAGGCAGCAGUAGGGAAUCUUCCGCAAUGGGCGAAAGCCUGACGGAGCAACGCCGCGUGAGUGAUGAAGGUCUUCGGAUCGUAAAACUCUGUUAUUAGGGAAGAACAUAUGUGUAAGUAACUGUGCACAUCUUGACGGUACCUAAUCAGAAAGCCACGGCUAACUACGUGCCAGCAGCCGCGGUAAUACGUAGGUGGCAAGCGUUAUCCGGAAUUAUUGGGCGUAAAGCGCGCGUAGGCGGUUUUUUAAGUCUGAUGUGAAAGCCCACGGCUCAACCGUGGAGGGUCAUUGGAAACUGGAAAACUUGAGUGCAGAAGAGGAAAGUGGAAUUCCAUGUGUAGCGGUGAAAUGCGCAGAGAUAUGGAGGAACACCAGUGGCGAAGGCGACUUUCUGGUCUGUAACUGACGCUGGUGUGCGAAAGCGUGGGGAUCAAACAGGAUUAGAUACCCUGGUAGUCCACGCCGUAAACGAUGAGUGCUAAGUGUUAGGGGGUUUCCGCCCCUUAGUGCUGCAGCUAACGCAUUAAGCACUCCGCCUGGGGAGUACGACCGCAAGGUUGAAACUCAAAGGAAUUGACGGGGACCCGCACAAGCGGUGGAGCAUGUGGUUUAAUUCGAGGCAACGCGAAGAACCUUACCAAAUCUUGACAUCCUUUGACAACUCUAGAGAUAGAGCCUUCCCCUUCGGGGGACAAAGUGACAGGUGGUGCAUGGUUGUCGUCAGCUCGUGUCGUGAGAUGUUGGGUUAAGUCCCGCAACGAGCGCAACCCUUAAGCUUAGUUGCCAUCAUUAAGUUGGGCACUCUAAGUUGACUGCCGGUGACAAACCGGAGGAAGGUGGGGAUGACGUCAAAUCAUCAUGCCCCUUAUGAUUUGGGCUACACACGUGCUACAAUGGACAAUACAAAGGGCAGCGAAACCGCGAGGUCAAGCAAAUCCCAUAAAGUUGUUCUCAGUUCGGAUUGUAGUCUGCAACUCGACUACAUGAAGCUGGAAUCGCUAGUAAUCGUAGAUCAGCAUGCUACGGUGAAUACGUUCCCGGGUCU
rnacentral:rRNA from 1 species